AUUGAACGCUGGCGGCAUGCCUUACACAUGCAAGUCGAACGGUAACGGGCCUUCGGGUGCCGACGAGUGGCGAACGGGUGAGUAAUGCAUCGGAACGUACCUUUCAGUGGGGGAUAACGUAGCGAAAGUUACGCUAAUACCGCAUAUUCUGUGAGCAGGAAAGCAGGGGAUCGCAAGACCUUGCGCUGAUUGAGCGGCCGAUGUCAGAUUAGCUAGUUGGUGAGGUAAAGGCUCACCAAGGCGACGAUCUGUAGCGGGUCUGAGAGGAUGAUCCGCCACACUGGAACUGAGACACGGUCCAGACUCCUACGGGAGGCAGCAGUGGGGAAUUUUGGACAAUGGGGGCAACCCUGAUCCAGCCAUGCCGCGUGAGUGAAGAAGGCCUUCGGGUUGUAAAGCUCUUUCGGUCGGGAAGAAAUCGCAUGGGUUAAUACCCUGUGCGGAUGACGGUACCGGCAUAAGAAGCACCGGCUAACUACGUGCCAGCAGCCGCGGUAAGAC
rnacentral:rRNA from 1 species